AUGGCAACCAAUGGGUACUCCAAUGGCGGCAGCACCAAGGGAAAGCCCAUCAAGUGCAAAGCGGCGGUGGCGUGGGGUCCCGGCGAGCCGCUGGUGAUGCAGGAGGUGGAGGUGGCGCCGCCGGCGCGCAUGGAGGUGCGCGUCAAGGUCCUCUACACUUCCAUCUGCCACACGGACCUCAGCUUCUGGAGAGGAGAGAACGAGCGUCAACGCAGGUUCCCUCGCAUCUUUGGACACGAGGCAGCCGGAGUGGUGGAGAGCGUCGGAGAAGGCGUGGAGGACCUCGCGCCAGGAGAUCACGUCGUGCCUAUCUUCAACGGGGAGUGCGGGACGUGCGCCUACUGCCACUCCAGCGCGACCAACCUGUGCGGGACCUACCGUGUGGACGCUUUCAAGAGCACCAUGGUUUCCGACAACGGGACGAGGUUCUCCGUGGUGAACACCUCCGGUGACACAGUGCCGGUCUAUCACUUCCUCAACACCUCCACCUUCGCCGAGUACACCGUGCUCGACGCCGCCUGCGCCGUCAAGAUCAACCCCGCCGCCCCGCUGGAGAAGAUGUGCCUCCUCAGCUGUGGCAUCUCCACAGGAGUGGGAGCUGCAUGGAACACUGCAAACGUGUCCAAGGGCUCCACCGUAGCAAUAUUCGGACUUGGUGCUGUUGGCCUUGCGGUUGGCGAAGGAGCAAGAAUAAGAGGGGCAUCUCAGAUCAUCGGCGUGGACAUCAACCCUGAAAAGUUUGCCAAAGGCAAAGAGAUGGGCAUCACGGAUUUCGUCAACUCGAAGGCGUGCGGCAAGCCCGUCCACGAGGUGAUCAGGGAGUUGACGGAUGGGGGCGUCGACUACAGCUUCGAGUGCAGUGGCAACGUUGAUGUGCUUCGAGAGGCCUUCGUUUCUACACACGACGGUUGGGGACUGACCGUGGUGCUGGGGAUCCAUCCGACGCCCCGGAUGAUGCCGCUCCAUCCCAUGGAGCUCUUUGAUGGCCGUCGGAUCACCGGGUGCACCUUUGGUGACUUCAAGGGCAAGUCGCAGCUUCCCCUCCUCGUCGACCAGUGCAUGCAGGGGGAGGUGAAGAUAAACUUUGAUGGCUUCAUAACCCAUGAGAUGCCAUUCUCGGAGAUCAAUGAGGCUUUCCGGCUGCUGGAGGAAGGCAAGUCCCUCAGGUGUGUGCUACGUCUGUGA
rnacentral:rRNA from 1 species